rnacentral:rRNA from 1 species
UACGUAGGGACCGAGCGUUGUCCGGAAUCAUUGGGCGUAAAGAGCGUGUAGGCGGCUAUUUAAGUCCUGCGUGAAAUCCUGCGGCUCAACCGCAGACGGUCGUGGGAAACUGGAUGGCUAGAGUGCGGGAGAGGAGAGUGGAAUUCCCGGUGUAGCGGUGAAAUGCGUAGAGAUCGGGAGGAAGGCCGGUGGCGAAGGCGGCGCUCUGGAACAUUUCUGACGCUGAGGCUCGAAAGCGUGGGGAGCAAACAGG